UUCAUCUGCUAGAGUUACUGUUUUUUUCUAAUUUUUCAGUUAAUUACUAUAUGGAUAUAGAUAUAGAUUACAUCUCGAGUUGGUUCUGUAUAUAAACAGGAUGUGGUAACAGACAGCAAUGGAUUUCAGCAAGUCGAAGACUGCCUGAUUUCUCAAUGGAACCAACGAAUGAUUCUCUGUUAUCCAGCUUCUAUUUCGCGAUUAGCCAGUUAUUGACUCAGUAAAUGAUGAACAAACAGUGGUUAUAAUGAGACGUUAUUGGUCGACUCGUGGUGAAUAUGUUCCAUGGAAAAUGGCAAAGGACUGGUUUUAAAUAACUCAUCUACAGUAAACACAAAUCAACACACAUUUUCAAGAUCGAUGGUAAAAUGUGAGAAGUAAUUGAUCCCUGCUCCCUGGGAUUUAAACCACGGAAAUUAAAAAUAGAUCCAAGAUUUAAACCAGUUGUGUUGCCGUCUGUUUAUUGUAGCUUAACUUGUGUUUUCUGUCUCGUUUGACACGCCAUUGACACAAGAAACCCAAUUUUCCUGUCGAAUUAAGACAAGCUUAGAUAUUGUUUUUGAAGUCGCUAUCCACAUUAAAUGAGUUUUAUUCCCUCUCGAAUUGAGAUGUUUCACCAUGAUCUUUGUGUCGAUAGUCUGGAAAAAUGUUCUUCCGUUGUGGAAACUUGAAACAAAAUAAAACUUCUACACAAAAUAUGUAAAUAUGUUUUAAAUUAUCGUUGACAAUAUAUAUAUUUUCAUUUUAAGUUGACCUGUUCAAAAUUUCGACAAAAUUUGUUUUUAAGAUAACAUGAAUCGGGUGAGUUUCUGUUAUCCAUCCAUUUCGAUCCAUUUAUAUACCUAUUCACUUAUAAAAAUCACUUUGGGUUAACAAUUAGCAGUAAUUAUAGUUUAAAUACGUAGCUUAUAUUAAAAUUGAAUUAUUAACACAAGGAAGUCACUACCAAUCAAA